CUUUUGCUGGAGCGGAUAGAAGUAAGCAUGCAGGCAUGAGUAGCGAUAAUUAAGGUGAGAAUCCUUAACCCCGAAAACCCAAGGUUUCCUACGCGAUGCUCGUCAUCGUAGGGUUAGUCGGGUCCUAAGUCGAGACUGAAAAGCGUAGUCGAUGGCAAAUUGGUUAAUAUUCCAAUACCAACAUAUAAGCGGCGAUGUGGGGACGCAUAUUAUUAAGCUUUGAUGGUUGCGUACUCCGG
rnacentral:rRNA from 1 species